rnacentral:rRNA from 1 species
UGGGACAAGCCCUGGAAACGGGGUCUAAUACCGGAUACUGAUCCUCGCAGGCAUCUGCGAGGUUCGAAAGCUCCGGCGGUGCAGGAUGAGCCCGCGGCCUAUCAGCUAGUUGGUGAGGUAACGGCUCACCAAGGCGACGACGGGUAGCCGGCCUGAGAGGGCGACCGGCCACACUGGGACUGAGACACGGCCCAGACUCCUACGGGAGGCAGCAGUGGGGAAUAUUGCACAAUGGGCGAAAGCCUGAUGCAGCGACGCCGCGUGAGGGAUGACGGCCUUCGGGUUGUAAACCUCUUUCAGCAGGGAAGAAGCGAAAGUGACGGUACCUGCAGAAGAAGCGCCGGCUAACUACGUGCCAGCAGCCGCGGUAAUACGUAGGGCGCAAGCGUUGUCCGGAAUUAUUGGGCGUAAAGAGCUCGUAGGCGGCUUGUCACGUCGGUU